rnacentral:lncRNA from 1 species
GCUGCUCGUUCUUCAUCUGACACUGUAAAUUUUCUUUCCAUUACAACAACAUUACCCCUUAACGUCCAUUGAUACAAUUUCUGCACUGCUAGUCAUUCCCUGUUCUGUGGUUAGCUGCCCUUGCCUUUUGAUAACCCAGAAGAGGUGUAAACCAUUCCAGCAAAAUGCCCCCAAAUAAUUGCAGCAGCCUUCUUCAAAAGUCCAGAUGUCAACAGGAAGCAAAAACUGAUUAUAUACUUUUCUUCACAGCCAGAAAGUCAGGGAACAGCUUAAUGAGCAAGGAGAAGACCUCAGAGCAUCUCUGACUAAGCAUCUUGCCAUUGAGAUAGAAACCUCACCCAGUGUUAUGAUUCAAACUGUGUGGGUGUGAGAAAUGGAAGAAAAAGGAGGAAGAGAGAAAAGAAGAAAAAAAGGGGGAGCAGGGAGACACACCCAGAGAGGAAAAAACACACUGAGUUUCUUCAUCUGCAAAAUGAGCUGGAAAAGGAAAUGGCAAACCUUUCUGGUAUCUCUGGAGAAAUCCUCAAAUGGUAUCAUGAACAGUCAGGACACAAUUGAAAUGAACAAAUUAUAACAGUGUCUUCACUUAGAGGCUGGAGUACCACUGGAGGGUUAUGUUGUAUUCCUUUUGCAUAUGUGUUGAACUGAAAGUCACUGAGCCCUUCCAAAUCUCUAAUUCUCUGAUUGUGACCCUAUCCUUCUACCUCCUCAACUCCACCAAUAAAGGUAGGUGAGAUGAAAAAUGUGAAGAAAAG